rnacentral:rRNA from 1 species
CACGGGGGGAGCAAGCGUUGUUCGGAAUCACUGGGCGUAAAGGGCGUGUAGGCGGUUUGGUAAGUGGAAUGUGAAAUCCCUCGGCUUACCCGAGGACCUGCAUCCCAUACUGCCAAGCUUGAGUACGGGAGAGGAUGAGGGAAUUCCUGGUGUAGCGGUGAAAUGCGUAGAUAUCAGGAGGAACACCGGUGGCGAAAGCGCUCAUCUGGCCCGAUACUGACGCUGAUGCGCGAAAGCUAGGGGAGCAAACGGG